rnacentral:rRNA from 1 species
AACGUAGGAGGCAAGCGUUAUCCGGAGUUACUGGGCGUAAAGCGCGCGUAGGCGGCUCGGUAAGUGGGUCGUGAAAGCGCCCGGCUAAACUGGGCGAGGACGAUCGAGACUGCCAGGCUAGAGGGUGGUAGAGGGACAUGGAAUUCCGGGUGUAGCGGUGAAAUGUGUAGAGAUCCGGAGGAACACCAGUGGCGAAGGCGAUGUCCUGGGCCACCUCUGACGCUGAGGCGCGAAGGCGUGGGGAGCGAACGGG